rnacentral:lncRNA from 1 species
GCUUAAAAGAAGCUUCCUGGUGGGUGAAGGAGAUGCCACCUCUGUGAGCGACCGCCUUUUAUCAGGGCUUGGAGAGUAGUUUUCAUGCACUCCCGAGAAGAGCGCUGGAAGCCAGCAGCUGGCUUCAAACCCAGGCAAAUCCCUCAGGCUUUCUAGUGUGCACCACCCAGGUCUGCUGUGGAGGAAGCCUCGUGUCCUCGUCUGUAUCCGCAGGGUGCUUUUAAACUCUGUGAUGCACAUCACGGCAAAAAUGUUCUUCACCCACAAGGGACAUUGUCCUUUUUUAGCGUAAGAUGGACC